GUUCUUUGUUCAUCUCAUGGAAUGAGCUUGGCAAACCACUAGAUGACUUCCGGCAUCCACACUACAACAUGAAAGGAGGCUAUAAGGGGUGAAAAAGUACACGAGGAAGAAAGAGGAGGAGAGGAAAAAUAAGAAAUGUCCAGGAGGUACCAUCCAAGUUGUAGGGGCAGAGAAGUUAUCAAAGAUCUUCUAAUCCAAAUGUGAACCCUGUAGGCUACAACACCCAUUGGGCAAGAUAUGUGCAUGGAUUCAAUAGUGGUAUGACUAUUCCUGGGGUAAACAACUACUUUUUGAUCGGACCAGAGAUCUAGUCCAUUGGAGAGAAUGCAUGCUUACUCCCACAAACCCAGUCCAAAGCCUAUGAAUAGGAAAUUUGUGAGCCAUAUGAGGGAGUCUACUAAAUGGAAAUGCAGGAUUUAGACCCAGGAUAUCCAGUACAGUUGCUUCUCAGAUAUGACUCAUCCAAACUAAGGUGUCCUGGAAAUAUAAAAUGCCUAUUUUAAAAAAUGAUGUGUGUGGGAGAGUACGGCAUGUGUUAAAUGAAUGUGUGCGCAAGUGUACAUGUGGGUUCAUGUACCUGUGUGUACAACGGUGGAGGGCAGAUGAAAACACAAUGUUCUGUCGAUUUCUGCAAUGUGCCCUUGACACAGUUGCUCAGCAAACCUGGAGAUGGGUUGGCAAAUGAUCCUCCUGGCUGGACUCCACCCAGCUUUGGGGUUACAGCUAUGCAUGGCCAUGCCCAGCUUUUAUGUAGGUGCUGGGGAUUUGAACUCAGGUUCUAAUGCUUGUAUGGCAAAUGCUCUUACUCACAGAACCGUCUUCCUACUCUGCACAUUUAGGGAAUUUAGUACACAAAUGUAAACCAAGCUGGGCAGUGGUGGCUCACAUUUUCAAUCCCAGCACUCGAAAGGGAGAGGCAGGCGGUUCUCUGAGUUUGAGGAUAGCCUGAUCUACAGAGCGAGUUCCAAGACAGCCAGAGCUACACAGAAAAGCAUUGUCUCAAAAACAAACAAACAAACAAAUAAAUGCUUUUUAAAACUGUAAAUUAUAUUCUUCAUAAUUUUAAAUAUUGACUAAAUACCAUAGCAAUACAACUGGGCACCCUGAGUUCAGUAAAAAUUCAUUACUAAAAUUUACUUUACCUGUGUUGUCCUAAAUUUUUGAGUGAACUAAAAAAGAAAUAAAACUAAAUAAGUGGAUUACACUCUCAUGUAUUUCCAACACACCGCACUAGAAUAUCAAGUCUAUGGAAUACUCUUGGGAAAAUACUUCCUGACAUGACCUGUCAGAUGUACCCAGGAGCAGCCACUGUAGUUAAGACUGUAUAAAAUUGGGCUUAUCAAUAGUUCAUCUUGAAUAGAGAGGGGCUCAUGAAGUCCAUCUGUUUCUAAGGAACUAUCGACAGUUGCUGGGUGACAGAGAGUGUCACUUUCUUCAGUGGUGUAGCCACUGAUAAGCUGCUUAAGCUCUAGUAAAUAAAUUCCCACGCUCAUGCAGGCAGCCAUAAUUAAACUCAGUGAGACACACACACACACACACACACACACACACACACACACAGACACACACAAAACAUGGAAGCAAGAGGAAGACUUGUCUGGAAGGAGAAGGGAUUCAGAAGGAAGUUGUAGGGGAUAAGAGAGUGGAAUGGGGGAGAGGGUCUUGAAAAUGAAUAAAAUUCAUUAUAUGCACAUAUGAGACUGUCAAAGAAAUUAAAAAUAUAGAAUAAAAAACAAAAUUAAUAAGAAGGGUAUUGUGGAAUGAGUGUCAGCAGAAGUCAGAUAUUGAGCAGAUAAAAAGCCAGAAAAUAGGAAUGUGUAAAACUCUUGAGGGAACACAUGGCACUAUCAAGAGAUGAUCAAGGUGUUGCACAUGACAACAUCAGUCAGGUGCCAUGUUUAAAGUGUUGAUUCCUUUAACUGAACAUCUUUGAGAUUUACCUGAAGUUGCUUUAGGCAAGAAGGUAGAGAUGGAUGAGGAGAAGAAGCACGGGUUGAUUUUCAAAGCAUAAUACAGUCUUUAUACACUGCUCUUGUCAAAGGCAGGAGUCAGCACAAUGAUUGCAAUGUGUUAAUUAAUAGCUAUAAUUCUUAGAUAAACUUAAUGGCUGCUCUAGAAAAGCUCCCUUACCUCUUAAAGAUAAAUCGUUUACUUCUAGAAAACACUACCCUUGUGGGAAGUUCAGACCCAGAAUGAAAUUCUAUUGCCUGAGGAUGGCCAGAUUUCAUGGUGAGAAAAUUAAAUUCUAAAAAGGACAAUCUGUAAAGUGCAUAGUAGGUUCUAAAUAAAUUAUUUCUAUUACUUUUUUAUUAUCUCUUUAUAUGCAUGUUGAAUCUCAAAAUCC